rnacentral:rRNA from 1 species
GCAGUGGGGAAUAUUGGACAAUGGGCGAAAGCCUGAUCCAGCCAUGCCGCGUGAGUGAUGAAGGCCCUAGGGUUGUAAAGCUCUUUCACCGGGGAAGAUAAUGACGGUACCCGGAGAAGAAGCCCCGGCUAACUCCGUGCCAGCAGCCGCGGUAAUACGGAGGGUGCAAGCGUUGUUCGGAAUUACUGGGCGUAAAGGGCGCGUAGGCGGUUUGUCACGUCAGGUGUGAAAGCCCCGGGCUCAACCUGGGAUGUGCAUCUGAUACGGGCAGACUUGAGAGCGGGAGAGGAGUGUGGAAUUCCCAGUGUAGAGGUGAAAUUCGUAGAUAUUGGGAAGAACACCAGUGGCGAAGGCGACUACCUGGACCGUUUCUGACGCUGAGGCGCGAAAGCGUGGGGAGCAAACAGGAUUAGAUACCCGGGU